rnacentral:lncRNA from 1 species
UUGGACGCAGGCAGCAGCCGAGCCGGACAGCCUCCUCCGGAGAGAACACCUUAGAAGGCUCUGCCUCUCCUUUGCUCUCUACAAGCUGCUGCGCCGGAGGUUCGAGGACAUCCCCACAACAAGAGAGGAGACCCGGAACUGCCGGAACCUCAUCUUCAAGGGCUUGUUGAAGGAGCAAGAAGGUGCCGAGGUCGCACUGUUCCAAGUCUUCAACGAUGAGACCCAGUUCGUUUGCGAGUACUACCAUUCCGUCCUACCCGUCGUCUUGUCCGACCCUUUCUUCUUCCUGGUCAACUACAUCCUGUUUCCCAUUGUAGUUUCUGCCUUCUGCCUCCUAACACUGAUCAUCUGCGGCAAUGGGAGCGUCCGCUACGCCUACCAGAGCAUCACAAGUGACAACUACAUCAUAUACACUGGCGCGACGACGCUGACCAGAUGCCUCCUGAGAAACAUCGCCCAUUCACCCGAGGUGCUGUUCGCCAGCAUCGACCUAGGCACCACCACUCUGCUCAUCCUGGCCUUCGUCUACGAGGAAGUCGUGGAGGUCCUCGUCUUUAUCCUCUCCAAUUGGCUCAUCGUGUCGCUCCUCUGUCAGUACACCGCCAAGCGCCACUGGCGGCAGAGCCGCAUGGUAUGUUGGCUCAUCCGCGGCAUCCUGUGGGUGCGAAGCAUGCUAAGCCACCCUAACCUCAGCUUCAAGCAGCUCUCCGUGCUAAGGUUCUUCCAACUGUCGUCGCCUUCGCCGAUCAUGGUGCCAACCAAGGCAGUGCCCAAGGAAGUGAUGGAGUCGAUCGUGGAUUAUCUGGUGGUUCACUUGGAUGUCUACGGCAUCGAUGGCCAUGACGACCCUCUCAAUUCGGCCUGGUCCUCCACACUGCAACAGGAGAAGCACAGGGCAUACCGUCCCCUGCUCUUGCCGGUGUGUGAGAGCAAGAGCAUCGCUGAGUUCAUCCUCACCUGUCACAUUGCCACCGCCCUAAUGGAGGUGAGGUACCCGCAGGACGAAAAGGAAAUGGGAUCUCAUCGCAAGGUGGCGACGACGCUGUCCAAGUACUGCACUUACUUGGUGGGCUUUUACCCAGGGCUUCUUCCGGACGACAAGAAUGGGACAAAGCACACUUACAAGAAGAUGAAGGAGGACAUGAACAAGGAGCUUGGAGGGUGCUGGUGGUACCACCUGUCGCUGCAGGGAACCAGGUACAAGAGGCUGAUGGAGAUCGGCGAAUCGAAGCAGAAGGCCGUGACAAUGGUGCGCAACGGGGCCAGGUUAGGGACAGCACUGAUCGAGAAGGCCGAGGAGAACAACGAGGCGCGUGAUCGCGUGUGGGAGCUGCUGAACGACCUUUGGACGGAGGUCAUGGUGUAUGUGGCGCCGUCGGCCGGCGACCUCCACGUGAAAGCCCACAAGGAGGCGCUGGCGCGCGGCGGUGAGUUCAUCACCGUGCUUUGGGUGCUGUGUACGCACACCGGCAUGACCAGGCCAGCCCUCGCACCGUGGGAGGUAGCACGUCAUGCGUUUGAACCAUAGAGCAUUAUUGGCUUCCCGUGUGUGCCGAUCUUUCGAGGACAGCUUGCUUGGGAUGGUUCAUCUCACAUGCUCCAUUCCGCUACUAACGCUAACAUUAGUACCGCGUCAUAAUGUGACCGGUACUAAGGGAGUGGACGAAAGAUAUAUUAAAAAUAGAUAUAUAGCCACCCGUUGUGAAUGCAUGGGUUGAUGCCAGUAAUUCCUAGAAAACGAGGCCAACCACAACCUCUUCAUCCACUUCUCCGACGUGAGCGCACAAUUCUCAACACUAGUAAGAAACAGAGCUUUAGUCCCGGUUUUUUAGUCCCGGUUGGUAAGGAUCAUAGAUCCCAAAAAUCCAAUCGAGACUAACUAUUCAAGGCUAAAUGACUCCUUUAGUCCCGGGUCAUUCACCUGGGACUAAAGGUGCCCUUUAGUUCCGGUUGGUGUUACCAAGCGAGACUAAAAAAAUUCCAAAAAAAAUAAAAAAAGCCAUCCGCGCCCGCCGCCCGCCUGCCUCCCACGGCCGCGCUGGCCUCAUGCUGCCCGCCCGCGCCCACGCCGACCACGUGCUACGACCCGCCCGCACCCACCCGACCGACCGCCCGCGUCGGAGCAUGGAAGAAAGGGAGAGGAGGAAGAAGAAGAGAUAAGGUGGAGAGGCCCUGCGUGGGAGAUAAGAAAGGGAGGGGAGGAGAUAAGUGGAGAGAAAGGGAGGCGACGAGAUUUUGUCUUGGUUGGAAUUUCCAACCGCGACAAAAGAUUUACUUCCGGUUGGAAUUUCCAACCGGGAUAAGGGUGGCGUCGAUGUCAGAUUUUUUAGCUGUUAGAACCAAGCCUACAACCGUGACUAAAGCCCCUUCAGUCGGUGGCCUUUGGUGCCUCAUACCUGGGACUAAAGUCACUUUAGUUCCGAGUCCAAAGUCAACCAAGAUAAAAGCAUCAAGAUGGAAGGUCAGUUCUCUAGUAUUGCAAGCCUAGUGUCUGCCACCUCCUCUCCACCAACAUGUCCCUCUUUCUGCAUGUAACACUUUCACACAUGCAUGUAACUUGAUUAAUCUUCUCAUGCGUGUUCACAACAAACGCAUGGAUGAAAAACAUGUCAAGAUUAAUUUCCAACACUUUUUUCUUCUAUAGAUAGUUUCCACUAAGUGGUUCACCACAUAAUAAAAUUUAGAUACUUGUCUCUGCAUAUCAUCGAUCAAUGUUGUUAGAGGGAUACAACAUUAUCAUUGUGUACAUCAUAUCAAUGACCGAACUUCAACUAUUAUAGAUACUGUUAUACUGUUAGCAAUGCAUAUAUCUCAAAUAUUAUUGCUUCUCUUUAAUUAGCUAAAGAAUAGGAUGCUAGAAUGAAAACGUCAAAAGAAAAAACAUAAUGAUGAAGGCAUCAGGUCCUCUCUUUUGGGGGCCAAGAUUCCUGCUGAUAUUGAUAACAAAAGAAGGAUACCAUGGGUUCUCUCCCAUUUGGAACUAUAUGUGACAAAAGUUAUGCCAGUACCUUAAAUGCUAAGGCUUGCUCAUCUUUUGAAUUUUUGUUCUUUGGCGGCCCCUGUCAUUUGAGCCUUUUGAUAAAGUAAAGGAGAGGAGAAUAAGCGCUAAAGGAAAGACCAACUGCUAUGGUGUUACCCGAACACCAUUGGCGGCAUCUUUCGAUUUACAGUACAUGCAGGCACGCCAAUACUCUCCUUCAAUCGUGUGCUUGCAGAACCUAUGAAAACGAUGCUCAUGCUUUGCAAGGGCACGGAAAUUUCGACUCAGAACGUGUCCAGAGGAAAUGGGCCCACUCGUAUGAUUCAUGGGAACAUGAACAAACAGAGACGUUCAGAUUCAGAAGUAUGGAAUUUGCAAGUCCCCGCAACCCACCGCCCCCACGUUGCUCCCGCAUGAGUGACACUGGUGGACGAAACCCUCGCCGCUGCCGCCCCUUCCUCCCUCUCCCCACCGCUGUGCCACCGCCCAAGCCGGCCGCUGAAAGCCUACGCGUCUCAUGAGGACGGCGGCGGUGGGGCGGCCUGCUUCUCCCCUUGAUCUCCUGGUGGGCGUGGCCGCUGUGGAGGUCAGAGGGAGUCGCCCGUAGGGCGACACACGGCCGUGACAGCGAGGCCGGAUCCGGGGCCCCUGUGGCCGGAUCCGGGGCCCUCGAUGCCGGAUCUGUCUCCAAGUGCGGUGGCGGUGGCUUCCCCCACGCGGGGCAGUGGUCACCCUGCCCGGUGCGGAAGCUGCACGAGCGGUGUGCGCCAGGGUGGAUGCCGCGCGGUGGCGGCUGCGUGGGCCAAGGCUGAGCAAGGGGCGAAGUGGGCGGCCGCGGUCCUAUGGCAAGGUGGGGUCAACGUGCAGGCCUCCUUCGAUGACUACCUCCAGGACCGCACCAUGUUCCCCGACGAGAGCAAGAGCCAGCGGAUCAGUGAUGGGGAGUGGCGGGUCCAGAUGCUGCUGCUGCAAUUCCUCCUCGUCACAGUGCGCCCUGUGGUCAUCAUGCAGCUGCAACACCGCACUGGUGGGCUCGACCCCAGUGGCGACAUCUGCAGUCCUCGGCGGUGAGCUCCUAGGGAGCGGUGACAGUGUGAAGGCGACAACGGCGAUCUGGGUGGUGCGGCGGUGGUCCCGAUGCGAGGCAAAGAAGGCACAUGGUAGCAGGGGCCGCUAGGAGGUGGGGACACGGAGGAGGCGCCGAAGGACAAGACGAGGAGGAGGUGUCGGGCAUACACCUCAGGGCCACGAGUAGGCCUUGUACGGCCCACCCAGGGGCGUACUCGGACAUGAGCAGGAGUUGGAAGCUAUGUCACAGGGUAACGUAGCCUACACGGACUACUGAAGACUAGUCUUGGUGCAUAAGGAAACUACUCUACCUAGUUGGAGUAGGACUCUGUAAUCAUAAUCGACUAGGAUUCCACCCUGUAACCCUGCUCCCCCGAUAUAUAAGGGUAGGCAGGGACCCCCUCCAAAGAACCAACUCAUACGCAAUACAAACAUCACACAAGACGUAGGGUAUUACGCGUUCUAGCGGCCCAAACCUGUCUAAAUCGUGUGCCUUGCAUCACCAUCAACUCCUUGAUUCUCGACGUCUCCACCACACAAAAUACCUCCUAGAGGACUCCCUAAGCGGGUUGCCGGUCUAAAACACCAACAGCUGGCGCACCAGGUAGGGGAAGUCGCCGAGUUUCUUAGCGCGAGAUCGAUGGCACCAAUUGUCAUCAAGCCAGCGCUCGCUUUCAAAGCAGGCGCAACUUUCAUCUUCGACUCCUGGCUUUGCAUCACCAACGGCGCCGGAUCCUUCCAGUGCUACCUCAUCGACAACCGGGAGAAAGAGCAUCUCAACGAAAACCCUCUUCGUAAAGAAGCAGACAGCCUCAUCGAGAAAAUCGACAAAUUCAAUCUCAGAUCAAGAUUCGACUACAACUCGAAGUCCAACGACGACUCCGAGUUCGACUACAACUCGAAGUCUGACUAUGACUCCAUUUUUAGUUUCGAGUUCAACCCCAACUUGGGGUCCAACUACAACUCCAAAUCAUAUCCAGGUCAAACUCCAUUCGGACUCCACAACGCAGCCACGGUCCAUCACUCCUUACUCGAAUCCAAUUCGGACUAGAGUCGAAGGAAGACUAUGCUACGACUCGGAUACACCCGAAGAGUUCAUCAGCAACUGCCACAGCUUCGUCGAUGACGACUUCCACGGGCGGCUCGCCGGUGACUUCUCCGACUACGUCGCGGCGCUCACUUAUGACUAUGGGCGGCUUGCUAACAAUUUCUUGGACUAUGUCAUGGUACUCGCCGACGACUACUUCAACAGGUGGCUCACCGGUGACUUCUCUGACUACGUCGUGGUGCUCACUGAUGAGUACGGGCGGCUCACCGACAAUUUCUCAGACUACGUCAUGGCACUCACCGACGACUACUUCGCUUGGCGACACACCGACGAAAACUUUGUCUGCUCACUGACGACUUCUCCGACUACGACACAGCGCUGGCUGACGACUAUGGGCGGCUCGCCGAUGAUUUCUCGGACUACAUCGUGGCACUCGACGACGGCUACUUCGACGGACGGCUCCCCGACGACUAAUCCGACUUUGCGACGUCCCUCGGCGACCCACCGAUGACUACUUCAACUUCGCGCGGGCGCUCGACAACUCGUUGAUGGCUACUUCGCUCGGCGCACACCAACGAAUACUUCGACUGCUCACCGACGACUUCUUCGACUACGUUGCGAUGCUCGUCAACGACUACUUCGACGGGUGACUCGCUAGUGACUACGUCGACUACUUGUCCCGACUAGAAAACUAGUCGGGGCAGAUUUCGCACCAUCAACGACUGGUCGGAACCGACUCCGACUAGUCAGCUUCGUCAACAACCGUCAUGGUUUCAUUGACGACCACCUUGGCUUCAUCGACAAUCAUCGACGAAUCAAGCUAAGUCUCUUUUCUGACAAUUUCCUAGCUUGAUUUCCUCUUGCGCACAAUACGCGCUCUACUCGCUAGAGGGCAGCAAACUCUCGCGCACAACACGCACUCUACUCACCGGAGGGCAGCAAAACUCUUGUGCAAUCGUGCUUGCUUUUUGUCGCAGCAGCGACUACUCACUUUUGUCUUCUCUUAAGAUCACUACUCUUCUCAAGAUGAACUUGCCUUGACACGUGAACGCCUCAGGUGCACCUGUGACGCCAAAUGCUAGCACACAUACACGAGACCACGCUCUUAGUUGUGCACAUAGCAAUGCCCAUACAUGUAUAUGAGACAACGCUCUCACACAUGCAAUGGCUACGGCUAAAUGGGGACUAAGAGCCUAAACGUAAUAGGCUAAAUGCUCGAGAAGAAUAUGAUCAAAAUAAGAGCAUGACACACAAUAUUUCAUAUUGAUCACUGAAUAACUUUCAGUAGUUUCAAUAUUCUACAAAAAUGCUACAUAUUGUACGCAUCUUUUCUUUCAAGUCAAACUUUGGCGAUGACGCUCGUCGUGUCACUAAGCAUGCCUCUAACGGCAUAGACUAGUUCCCGAACUCGGGGACUAAGCACCAAUCACUACUCGGGAUAUCUCUAGUGACUCAGCUAGCUCCUAGGCUCGGGGGCUAGACGCCGCAAAACUACUCGAUGUGGCUCCUACGGCUCGCCCAGCGCAUAAGCUCGGGGGCUGGAUGCCGCAAAACUACUCGGAUGAUGACUUACGCAGAGAUUCAAGAUCCUUGAGAUGAUUAUUCAAUCAAUUCAAGGCUCGAGGGCUGAUAAGCUACACCCAUCAGUUGAUUUUUUGUCAAGCCGGAAGAAAAAGUUUCAAGAUUUUGACCCUCAGCCUGAUUCUACGAGUCAACCUAAGGCUCAGGGGCUCCUCCAUAUGGAGUGUGAUUGUCAUCGCACUAUCAUAUAAAGAUUCAAGACAAAGGCUACUUGAAGCAACGUUACGCAAAGCAGAGAGUACCUUCCAGCCAUGUGACAGUACUCGGUUACUCGAAGGCUAGCCACCACGAGAAGCGCUCAAAAAGCACCAGAUAGUACUCGGGCAACCUCUUCAAGUACUCUGAGCUGUUCCACUCGACUACAAAGUACUCGGGGGCUUGUCAGGCAUACAUCCCCAGCCCCACGAGUAGGCCUUGUACGGCCCACCUAGGGGCAUAGUCGGACGUGAUCAAUACUUGGAGGCUACGUCAUAGGGUAACAUAGCCUAAACGGACUCCUGAAGACUAGUCACGGUGCAUAAGGAAACUAUUCUACCCAGUUGGAGUAAGACUCUGUAAUCGUACUCGACGAGGAUUCCACCCUGUAACUCUGCUCCCCCGAUAUAUAAAGGCGGACAGGGACCCCUUCCAAAGAACCAACUCAUAAGCAAUACAAGCAUCAUACAGGAUGUAGGGUAUUACGCGAUCUAGCGGCCCAAACCUAUCUAAAUCGUGUGCCUUACGUGACCAUCGACUUCUUGAUUCUCGACAUCCCCACCGCACAAAAGACCUCAUAGGGGACUCCCUAGGUGGGUUAUCAGUCUAAAACACCGAUAGGAGGUGCGAUGGACAAUAGUGACCCAUCUAGAAGAGCUGCAUGGAGAGGAUGCCGGUGCAGAGGACGGCAACGUGGAGAUGGUCGUGCAAGCGAUGAGGAGCGGAGCGGCGGCUCGAAUGCCACGAGGCCAUUCUGGUGCCGCGGGAACCACUCACAUGCUGACGUUGUGGUGGUGUGAGGAUCUACGCUGGUGGUAGUGGGGGCCAUUGUCGCAGAAAGCUUUGUGUUUGCGCACAUGGUACAACUGAGAUUAUGACGGCGGCAAGGUGGAGGUGAAGUUAUUAGAGUAGCUCGGUGGGACCAUGUCACCCUGAUGGAAAAUCAUGUCUGGAUCCUUGGUAUGGAGUCCAGCGGUGGAAGUGGUGAGAUCCCCGUUUGCUUUAAGGUGAUGUGUACGAGGAGUUGUGUGUGGCGGUGAAUGUGGCUAGAACCCCACACAUUUUGAGUUGCCUUGGAGGGCCAGGAUCCGGUGCAGUGUUUUGAUGGUUGGUGUGUACGGUGCGAUAGCAGUGCUUCGGCGUUGGGUCCUGCAGUGCGGUGGUCGUUUCAGUGUGGUGCAGUGUGCUCCUCCUUUGACUUAUGCUAAUACAAAGCCGUGGAUUGGGAGAUCGAUGACCGUGUGUGUGUGACCUGAGGACGACGACGACAUGGUAGAGAAGCCCUAGUAGCUACACGACUUGCAGCGGACUGCGACGGCCAGUCCUACGUGGCUUCGGCUGGUUUGGCUGGGACAUCGUCGGGGACGAUGGCGCUAGCGAUGAGGGCUACUUGGCGGCUUUUCCUGCUCAGUGGUGGUGGCAUGGUGGUCGCUGCUAGCUCAAGCGUUAGCGUUGAGUGGCUUUGCGUCGACGACCACCCAUAGAGUUCUUUUUUUGUUUUGAGUUGAGUCGGCAUUAUCUGUUGGGAGCUACUUCGGUGGCUCUGUUGUUAUACCCAGUCUAGGAUCUUUCUUCUUUUUAAAUAAUCGACAGCUCUCCUGCCUGGUUUGUUUGAAAAAAAUUCAAAAAUACGGUUGGAUGUAAGAUUAACGAGUUAAUCUUCAUGUAGCAUGUACAUAGACAUGUAACCAAGAAACACAAACUUUUUUACAACGGAACUCAAGUGUAUUUGAGUUGUACAGGCAGAGAUAUGACUAUAGAAAUUGGGGAAGCAGCACUUUGCAUGUAAUAUAGGGUUGAAUAAAUCACCUCUACCGUGGUUUAUACGUCAGUACUGUACAACAAAACCUGGCCACCAUCCCUAAAUUACAUGAUAAAAACUCUAUCAUCUACAACCAACAACUCUAGGUACGGUAGUUGUACACAUUACACGAUAUUGGUACGUAUGUUUAACUUGACCUGAAUGCAUAUGUUUAACCUUGGAGAAGAUAGUCCGAUUCAACCCUUAGAAAUCCUUUAAGAGAUGUGUCCAUGUUAAUCUUGCUACUACUAAUUGGAGAUACCGGAGGAUUCUCAAGUUAAGACGCAUGGGCGGCCGUGCUAGAAAAAAUAAGAUCUCAAAAACUCAUGAAAACAGAAAUUGCACCUCAUCACAAGGUGGACACGGUGCCCUACUGCAGCCCAAGCAACUACUACACUUGCAUUGGUGUUCUUUUCAGACAGUGCUCGCUGCAGGACAAAACGCUGACAGAGAUUUGUUGUUGCCAUUCUAGAAUCGUUUUAGCUGUGGCUUCGUUUCAUUCAGGAUUAAUUUGCAAAAAAAAUGUAUUUUCAGUGGAAAAUAAUGUAACCAGAUUGGCUCGAUUGCCCCAGAAAGAUAUAAUAACUCCAUGCAGUAACAUAUACAUGGUCAUACUUUAAUUAUUGUGCGUACAGUUGUACUACAGCAAGGCAUAUAUCUUAGCUGUCUCUUCGCUUUAACUAAAGAAUUGGAUGCUAGGAUGAAAGAUCCAUGGUUUGGGGCCACUAUUACUAGCUUUCUGCUGAUAUUGAUAACGAACGUAGGAUGGCAUGGGUUCCCUCCCUUUCUACAAAUGGGAGAGAACCCUGGUAUCCUUCUUUCGCUAUCAAUAUCAGCAGGAAUCUUGGCCCCAAAAGAGAGGACCUAAUGCCUUCAUCAUUAUGUUUUUCUUUUGACGCUUUCAUUCUAGCAUCGAUCCUAUUCUUUAGCUAAAGCGAAGCAAUAUUUGAGAUAUAUGCAUUGCUACAGUAUCUAUAAUAAUUGAAGUUCGAUCGUUGAUGUACACAGUAAUGUUAUAUUCCUCUAACAACAUUGAUCGAUGAUAUGCAGAGACAAGUAUCUAAAUUUUAGCUCCAAGUAAGUUUUAACCAAAAGUUUAUCUUAAGGGGUUCCACGACCCAAAUCUGUACUCCCCUAAAAAUAAACUUCAAUGGUAGUCCGACGGACUAUAGGGCCACCUGAUUAAACCUAUGAUUAACGACCAACAUAUCUAUCACUUACUCUCACUAUUUCCUUAUUAUUUGGUGAACCGCUUAGUGGAAACAAUCUAUAGAAGAAAAAUGUGUUGGAAACUAAUCUUGACAUGUUUUUCAUCCAUGCGUUAGUUGUGAACGCGCAUGAGAAGAUUAAUCAAGCUACAUGCAUGUGUGAAAGGGUUACAUGCAUGUGUGUGAAUGCAGUGCAUGCAUGCGCGUAUGGAGAAGACUAGGAUCUGCAUGCAUAUGGAAGCUUAGGGAGUUAUGUGUUACUCAAAGAGUCUCUAGACAAUGUGAAUCGAACGUGUCUUGGUACACUGGUAGAAAACUGAGUAUUAGUCCCAGUUGGAACGUUGCAAAUCUCCCAAAAAACCAUCCGGGAUAAAGCAAUCGAGAUAAAAGGGGGUGUCUUUUAUCCCAGGUCCCUCAACCGGGACUAAAGACACCCUUUAGUCCCAGUUGGUAAUACCAACCAGGACUAAAUGGUUUUGCAAAAAAAAUUAAAAAAUAAAUAAAUUCCUGUGGGGUCCUAGGGAGGCCUCCCCGCGACAAGCCACAAGUCAUGCGAUUUUCACGCGAAAUAUGCGCAUGCGCGGCUCGUGGGAUUCGAACCCACGACCUCAAGCCUCGCGCGUAGCUUCCUUGCCAUCCAACCUACACAUCAUAUCUAACUAUAUAGGGGAUCCAAUCCUUUUAUACUAACUUGUGGGGAACCCUUUAAUCCCGGUUGGAGAUACCAAACGGGAUAAAAGACCCCCUUUUAUCCCGGUUUGCAUUACAAACUGAGAUAAAAGGGUCUGGAACAUUUAUUCCUUCCCCGGAGCACAUGUGGGGGACCAUUUUAUCCCAGUUGGAAACACCAACCGGGAUAAAAGACCCUAUUUUAUUCCGGUUGGUAUUACAAACCGGGAUAAAAGGGUCCGAGGCCUUUAGUUCCUUUUCAGCCACCCGUGAGGGACCCUUUUAUCCCGGUUGGAGUUUCCAACCGGGAUAAAAGACCCCAUUUUAUCCCGUUGGUGUUGUGAGCUUUAGUCCCGGAUGAUAACACCAACCGGGAUUAAAAGGGUGACCUUUAGUCCUGGUUAUUCUUACCAUCCGGGACAAAAGGGUCCCCCACAGGUAGCUAAUUUUUUCACCCGGGACUAAAGGGUCCCCCACGGGUGGCUGAUUUUUGAACUGGGACAAAAGGUAACUUUUAGUUCCGGUUGCAAAUACCAACCGGGAGUAAAGCUCUGCGAACGCCCUUUUGUACCAGCCUUCUUUAAACCGGGAUUAAAAGGAAGCGCAUCGAAAGUUAGUUCUCUACUAAUGGUAGUGUGAAACCCGGUAGUUCCUCAGCUUCUCCUGCUUCGAAUCUGAACUCCCCUCCCCGUGCUGACAGAAAAAGGGGUAUUUAUACCCUAGAGACGCCAUGGUAUAAAAGAGAAGUGGGCGAGGUGAAAGCCCAUGCCGAUCGGCCUAGGUGGGUCCAAGCCGAUCGACCUGGCCCUUCCUUUCAUCCCCAAUUGCUCAAUGGAAACUCUCAUUUCAUCAAGUCUCUCAAAGCCUAUGCUAGAACAUUGUCAACCUAUUCUACUUACAAACAAGUGGUAGGCUUAUCUGGAUCUUGGUAGGUAGAAACAGUCCUUGCAAAGUAUAAUAGUCAGAAUAUUAUCAAAUUAGGAAACACUUCUAUUGGGUUGUCAAAAAGGUCAUGGAGAAAUAGUUGCUUAUAGAGAGAGAAUGGAACACACACUUUUUUAGAUGGCGGACAUGUGCAAGGGAAAAUAGGUGAUCCCGAGACACAAAUGAAGUUAUUGUUAUCGAGUUGCAUAUGGUUAGAAAAUUUUAGUGUUAACCCUGCUCUUAAUCAUAUGUAACAAGACAUGGCACUCCAUUUAGAUGUUCAAUUAAUAUUCUAGCUUAUUAUUAUGGAGGAUAGACAUUUUUCAAUGAUGAACAAGCCACAAAGAAUUUAGAACAAUGCUCUCAAAUUUAAAUCAACUUCAGAACUUUUCUUUCAAUGGAGCAUAAUUUUCAAACAGGACUAGAUCAACAUCAGCAACAGAAUUCUUGCAAUUGCUCAAUGGAAACUCUCAGCUCAUCAAAUCUCUCAGAGCCUAUGCUAGAACAUUGUCAACCUAUUCUACUCAUAUAAACAAGUGGUAGGCUUAUCCGGAUCUUGGUAGGUAGAAACAGUCCUUGCAAAGUAUAAUAGUCAGAAUAUUAUCAAAUUAGGAAAUACUUCUAUUGGGUUGUCAAAAAGGUCAUGGAGAAAUAGUUGCUUAUGGAGAGGGAGAGACUGGAACACACACUUUUUUAGAAUGUUGACAUGUGCAAGGGCAAAUAGGUGAUCCCGAGACACAAGUGAAGUUCUUGUUAUCUAGUUGCACAUGGUUGGAAAAUGAGUAUGGAUUUACCUUUAGGGGACUGGGAAAUUUAUGAAGCUCAAAGAACUAUUGAGAAUUUUUAUUAUCAUCUUUCUUUUUGCUCUUUUUCUUCUUUUUCUCAUCUCAUUUUUAAUUUUAUUUUUUAAUUUUUUUCUUUUGCUUCCUUAGAACUUUUUGCAACAUAAUACUUACUUAGCAGUGGUCAGAGAUAACGCGAUGACUCCAACCCCCAUGCUUGAACGAUGCUCGUCCUCGAGUAUGAAAGAGAGAACUAUUGUGACCCUUUUGAGAUUCAUUUGAUGCUUUCAUGAUCAAGAUCACCUGCACUCCACCUAUAUAUGCUAAACUCCUACACUAGUAGUUCACAACAAUUAUCACCCAUCCAUUCCACAAAAUAAAUACUCCACUACAUAUGUUGAUUUCUCUCAAGUUAUCAUUACAAAAGAAACAUGGGCUAUUGAAAAAGAGAGGGACACAUGAAGGUCCCAGUAUAGAAAAAAAUAUGAACACAUGAAGGUCCAAGUAUUAAAAAAAUGAAGAAAAAAAGGAGUCGGACACAUGAAGGUCCAAGUAUGUGAAUAAAGUGGAAGAUAGCCAUGUUCUCAAUAUUAAAUAUGUCCAAAGGGAGAGAGAUUAUAUAAAAUGGAGUUUCCAUACAUUCCCUAUCCACCACCCACAUAUUCACACACAUGCACAUCUUGAUCUGAUUGUAUGACUUGUUUUCUCCUUAAAUCCGGUUUUUGAAUUUGCAAUAUAUGUAAUACAAGUAUGCUUUAUUUUCAUCCCCUACCUUGAGCUCCACAAAAAGCUUUAUUAGAAGUAGGAAGGAAAAGAGGCAAACAAAUGCCUCGGUAAGGAACCAUACACAUUGAGCGAUCUGAGAUAAUCAUUCGAGGAGCAAGUCUAUGCUUUGUUCUGAGAAUAUUUCAAAAACCUAAGAUAUCUGAGUACGAGAAGUUUGUUACUUCUCUUCUUCCUUUUUAUAUAUGUGCUCUUUUAUUGUACACAAUACUAAGCUAUACUACUGUUCAAAAAGGACUAGUAUACAAAUAUUUGACGGUUAAGAUUAAUUGUAUACUACUGAAACCUUCACCUGUGGUAUGGGUAGUAUACAUGACUAGUAUAAGGGUAUUAUGGUAAAAGAACACAAAUGAUAUCACUAAAAUUUUAUUUUUGACACUAGCAUAAAGUUUAAAAUGCCAUUUCAUUUGAAAUAUCACUUUUCACAUGUAAUAAUUACUAAAUCAUGAAUAUUUAUAUCUUAUAUAUACUUAUAUACUACUAAGUAGUAUAAGCAGCAGGGGAUUACCCCUCGUGUUCCUAAAGAUAAAAUAGAUUACAACUCCAGCGGACGUGCUACAAUUCUUCAGGGCGCCGUGCCUGCCCUGAAAAAUUCCUGAAUGAGGGACGAUUUGCCGAUGAAUACUGCUGAAAUCAACAAGCUGGCCAAGAGCCUUAAAAAGUGGUUGAAUGUUGAAAGCUAAAGUAAGCAAAGCGCACUUGAUCAGUCCAACACACAACUUCCACAAAUUAAACAUGAGCUAGCACGAAGCAGUUCAUCACGAGAUCGACACACGACUGUGCGGACAUGAAGUUGUUGAUGCAUGCGGUCUCUGAUCAUCACGUACCAGCAGGCGGUGAUUUACCAUUACCGCCUGCCACUGCUGGCGGAGGAGACGGUGCCGGCGGAGUGCUCCCCCAUGAGACCGGGUACUCCAGUUCUUCUUCCGUCUUGCAAGGGACCUUGCCGCCGUCCGGGGUGCUUGCAUCGCUACGGAGGAAGGUAACCGGCCAGCAGUAAUAGGUCUUGUUGAUGAUCUUCUCCGAGUGAGCACGCUUGUAGCUGGUCUCCACCACCACCAUCACGGGGAAGCUGCGGUGGUGCCUGUCGGAGAGGUAGUGCACCGACGCGUAUUGUCCUUGCCUGUAGAGGCUUACCCACCUCCUGUACCUGUGCGAGCUGUGCGGCUGCAGGUCGAAGAUGACGUUCGUCUCCGGCUGGUACCAUAAGAACUGCACCAUCUCCGUGAAGGAAGCAUUGGGGUUGUCUAUGACCCUGAUGAUGCUGAUGUUGCACUGGAUCUGGCCGCGGCCGCUGGGGUUGAGGGCGUCGACGAUGAUCAGCAUCGGCACCUCUCCCGCUGGCGAGUACACAGACGUGGUGUUGUCGUAAAUCCACCACCAUUGUUGUGUCUGGACAUAGCCGUAGCUCUGGAGGUCCAUCUCCACGGGGCGGUUGACGAAGACGAUCACCAUCACCACCACCGCGACGGCGAGCACGGAGACCACGACGGCCACCAGUGAGCGCACCGUGGCUAGGAAGGGGAAUGUAGUGUUCUGGCCAGCGCGGCAUGUUGCCAUUUUUUCUCACGUAGGUAGCUAGGGCGGUGGAUGAUGGACUUGUCCGCUAGGGACCUGCAGCCAUAUAUACACAUAAAUUACUGACCGAAUGUUCAUUCCCUUUUUUUGGUUAGAUGACUCAGAUUAGUCUACCGGUUAACAGGGGGCUUGGCUAACAAUUAGGCUGCCUAUUAACCUCCUGUUAGGAUCAGCCAUGGCAAAGUUUUGACGGUUAACGAUCUCCCUAUAUAUCUAAACAAGUUCUUAGGUCAUGUUCCGUUCUUUAGGAGCUCCUAAAAUUCAUGUCACAUUCGAUGUGACAUGAAUUUUAGUCUGGACUAAAGAACCAAACACCCCAUUACUCCCCUCCCCCUCCCACCUCCCACACCAAUGUUCAAAAUUUUGGCCGAAAUUUCAUGAAAUUUGAUCUUUUGGUAGUGACCGAAAUUACUAUUUGCCCGAAAUUUCGGUAUGUCAACCGAAAGAUGCACUUUUUGCACCAAAUUUCACAUGAAAUUUCAUGAAAUUAGGUGUUUUCGAUGGGGACUGAAACUUUUCUGAAAACAAAAUCCCAAUCCCUGCCCCACACCGUCCAAGUAGAAUUAGGACACACUCUUUAUACAGUGAUAAUUCAGGCUUCUGCCAACCACAGGAACCGGAGUUGUUUAAUUUUUUGGCAAAAUGUCGUGCAGAUGCUUACAUACAAAGCAUUCGUACAUGCACCAAUUAUGAGUACUUCUGCAACACCGUGUCAUUAUGCUUUCAAUAUCUGGUCUUUAAAAACCUUAGAUUUACCUAUGAUGACUUGGUUAAUUAAUCUCAAGAUCAUCUGCUACCUAGAGUUUUGGUGGCACUGGAUCAUAGGGCACAGUUGUAUGUGUAUUCAUCAGAAUGAGUGCAUGUGCAUCUAUAUGAUGUCCGUGUUUUUUUUAAAAAAAUAAACCUGCGCAGGUCAUGAUGCUUCCACUAUCCUGUCUUAUCUGUUUGGAUACCAGGGGCUAUACUUUAGCUCCUGUCAUAUCAGAUGUUUGAUACUAAUUAGAAGUAUUAAAUAUUGACUAAUCACAAAACUAAUUGCACAGAUGGAGGCUAAUUCGCGAGACGAAUCUAUUGAGCCUAAUUAGUCCAUAAUUUGACAAUAAGGUGCUACAGUAACCAUUUGUUAAUGAUAGAUUAAUUAGGCUACGUCUCGCGAGUUGGUCCAGAAUUUGUGCAAUUAGAUUUAAAAUUAGCUCAUGUUUAAUUCUCCUAAUUAGCAUCAAAACAUUAACUGUGACAAGGGCUAAACUUUAGCCAAGGACAACCAAGCAACAUGCACGCCUAUAUAUGCUCUUUGAUCAGAAAAGGAAAGAAAUAUUCCCAAAAAAAAGGAAUAUGUGCUGCGGUCCAUACACGUUCUUUGAAGAAAUAUUCCAUACUUAUUUUAUGUCAUUGUAGAAGGACUUUGAAUAAGGUUCGAUGGAGUCACGUGGCUGCGUCUGCUGGCAGCUGAUCGAUGAGUCAUAUUACUAUUGGACUUGUGUUUUGGAUGCUUAUGUUUUGGAUUACAUUCAGAAUGUACGGGCAGGGGCGAAGCCACGUAUAAGAUUUUUAUUUACCACUAAUUAGACUCAAAAUUACCAUAUAAUCCUAGCUUGUAAAUUAAAAUUUACAAGUCUCUUGAGCAGUGCACCACGGUCAAUUCAGCGCUAGCUUCGCCCCUUUGUACGGGGAUUAUGCAACCCAGAAACGACGACUAAGAGCCUCAUUUCCGGACAUGCGUCCCUAUGAUCCUUUAUAUACUCCAAAUGUCUGAGUGGCCGGCUCAUACUUGCCAUGGCGAUGUCUAUCCCUCCUCUCAAAGGAUGGAGCAGCAAGCUCCUUGUAGUUGCGGCCAUGAUAGGAACCCUGGUCGUGGUCGCCAUCGCCGCCGUCAUCAUCGUCGGCCUCACUCCGCCACUGGUCUUCUUCUCCAUCCAAGAUGCAAGCCUCCAAGGCGGGCAGUUGAAACAGCAAAAAUUCUACAACUUCACCCUCUAUGCCAACAACACCAGCCGGCGCAUGGAGGUGCACUAUACCAACCUCAACACCGAGAUCUGGAUAGCCCCGUCUGAGUGGUACCCGGCCGAGGUGAGCAUGAGCGGGUUCGAGCAGCCACCGGUGAGCAUCAACGGGUACAAGCAGCCACCGGACAACGUGACCAAGGUCGCCGGGUGGGCCGAGUUCUAUCAGACGACGUCGUUGACGGCGGCGGCGCAGGGCGGCGGCGCGGGGAAUUGGCCAAACUGCACUGUGGUGGUGAUGGCCAAGGUGUUGUUCAAGGUCGGGCUGGCACGCACACGGCCGUACCACAUCAGGGUGUUCUGCUUCCCCGUCAACUUCCUCAAUACGACUCGGUACGCCAAUUGUACAUACUGAUCUCGAUCGACGUGUAUGCAUGCAUCCAUGUUGUUGAACGUGUACAUGACUGUUGUGACGUGCUCCUUUACCAUAGCUUCAGAUCCUGACUUGUAGCAUUGACAGAGUAUGCGUCUAUUAUGGCAGAGAGCCUCUUGUACAUGUAUUUAACUCAAUCCAGAGAUCAAUAAUGAAAGGAUGCGGUUUUUUUUUAGGAAACAGGAGGGGAAGUACCCCUGCUGAUUAUAUAUUAAUAUAUAGUUGACAGUACACUAGUGAUACAAACCUUGUUUAUGACACAAAGAAAGAAACAAAAAAGAUUAAGAAAAUUACAGUGAAUGCUCUAACCAUUGAACCAUUGAUUGUUUCCAAGACUCUCUGACACGAAAUACUACCAAACUGAAAAUCUGUUUGAACCGUUCCUUUGCAGCUUGAUAAGCUGGCACUAGGGCCUUUGAAGAUGCAGUCAUUGCGUGUCAUCCAAAUACUCCAGCUCAUAAUUACGAUAAUUUCCAUAAAGAAAGGCACUUGCAACUGGUUCCAGCUCAUAAUUACGAUAAUUUCCAUAAAGAAAGGCACUUGCAACUGGUUCCAGAAGCUAACGAGAAUAUCAUAAGGUUGUUGCUGCAAAUCCACAAAGAGGCCGAGAUUGAUCCAACACUCCUGUGCGAAUGGACAAUCUAGUAAUAGAUGAAAGAGGGUUUCUUCCUUGUUGUGGUUCCAGAGGACGCAGUUAUAGGAAGGGAGAGCCAUCUGCUUUCGUUUAAGCUCCACUGGCGGCAGAGCCGCAUCCUGUGUCGGCUCAUCCGCGGCAUCCUGUGGGUGCGAAGCAUGCUAAGCCACCCUAACCUCUGCUUCAAGCAGCUCUCCGUGCUAGGGUUCUUCCAACUGUCGUCGCCUUCGCCGUUCAUGGUGCCAACCAAGGCAGUGCCCAAGGAGGUAAUUAAAGAUUUCUUCAUCGGUAAUGUCGCGCGGUUCUUGGUUUCAAGUACUGCCUGUAUUUUUUUAUUUUUUAUUUUUGCCUUGUCAUUUGGUCCGUCAGAACUAAGUUUGUCGAAUUCCUUCUGAAUAAGCUUGAGACGCUGGUCGUGCUUGUUUGUUGGUGUGCCUACGUGCCGCGUAGUUGUCGUAGCAAAUACUUUCGGUUCCAUAUCGCCUGUGACUGGACCGGGAUGUUCUUCAAUCUGUUAUGGCCCUGUAUUCUGUUUUUAUAUGGAUCCCACAUAUAAUCAAUUUCCAACAUUUGCUUUCCUCUGUACAUUCAGCAUGUUGUCUUUUUUUUUUUUUUGAAGCGCAUUCAGCAUGUUUCGCAGAUGUUUGGAAGGAUGAUCCAAAUUCUGAAUGCACAGACCCUGUUGGGAAAUUGAUUUCCCCACUGCGUGUCUGUGUUUACAUGCAUCUUCUAACUGUGGUUCCAAUGGCCCGUCUAGGCCCAUACAGGCCUAUCAGGUGGAUGGGCCGGCCGGCCUCCUGGAUCAACAAGACCGGUAUCCCUUCUUGGCCCGUCCGCCCCCGCUGUAGAAACAAAACCAGAACCAGCAGAUCCCCCGGGCCCUGAAGAGAAAGACGAUGGCAACAGAAGAAAGAGCUCGCGACGAAGCCGGCGAAAGCCCCCCAAACCCUCCCCAGCCCAGGCAGCGGCGGCGCGACGAGAUGGCCGACGACCCCACCGCCGGCGGCGGGAACACCGUCGAGGACGUCGUCCGCGCGGAGGUGAGCAUCCCCGGCCGGCCCUCGUCCUCUUUGCUGCGAGUGCCGGGGAAUCCGAUCUCCGCCCGGGCCGACCUGGCUCUGCUCGGCUGCCUCCCGAUCUGCCCGCGCGGGUGGCGGCGCCUCGCCCCUAGUUCGGUUUCGGGUUAGAGGUGUCCCAGCGUGGUGUCUGGGCGGGGGGAAUCCGGCGACGAGGCGUUCUCCCUCCCGUUGGCUCGGUUGGCGCGGACGGACGCGGUGGGCCUGGUUGGGGAAAUCUGUGCCCGUUUCGAUUUGGGUGUAGAAUAGGUAUACGUCUUCAAAAUUGAUAGAAUUAGGCCCGUUUAUAAAAAAUUGAUAGAAUCUGCCUGCAAGGCGCGGUUUCCCAGCUGGCCCGUCCUCAUUUACUAAUCCCCACCAAGCUUAGCAUCUUUCCUUUCGAUGAAAUAAAAAAAUGUUAAUGUCAACAGCUCCUCGAUUACCGCAUAGAUUAACACCUCUUUAGCCUUUGUGGCACGGCACCUAAUACUUUCCUCACCUUUGCAGUGCCGUGGGCCCGCCACUUCCCUUCUGGCCCACAAGUCAUGGAGGCGCGCGAGGAGGGGUAUCGGUUUCACGAUGAUUAAUCAAGAAAGGCCCAAGACACGUCACGCUGGGGGUGGGGGAGGGAAGACACCGCACCGCAUGCACCUGCAUGCACCUUUGCCUUUGCUUUUCCCCGGCGUCCUAGGGACCUCGAGCUCGCCCGCCUAGGAGCUCCAGCAGCCGGGCCGCUCCGCCGCCGGUGCGGCAACCACGCCGCCGUCAGACCACCUCGCGCGGCCACCCCGCGCCGGUGCGCCGUGCGCGGCGGUGCUGUCCCGCCGCUCCUCCGCCUACCGUCCUCCUGCGCCACCACCAGCUAGCGCACCGGCAGCACCGCGAGCUGCCGCGCCGCCCCGACGACGUUGGUCAUUCCGGAGCCCGGUGUCGUCACCAGCGUCGCCGGAGAAGGUAAUUACCUGAAGCAAUUUGUAGAAACGAAUAGUACUGGUUCGUUCACUUAUUUCAUUGCUCAAACUUAAUUUCUGCUUAUUAGAGUUUGUGCCUUGUCGUGAGACUAAAUUAGCUGCUUAUUCUGCAGGUUGCAUUCAGGAGAUCGAGCUGCCGGAUCGGAGGAGGUCAUAUCAGCCGUGUUGGUUGUGCACUUGUGUUGCUGCCGGCGGAGAAGGAACCAUGGUGAUCGGGCCACUGAUCUCCAUAAUGUAGUUGAACUAAAAUAAUCCCCUUCUGAGUUUAGCAUCUUUCCUUUGGAUGAAAUAAAAAAUUGUUAUUCCGGAUCCGUAAUCUCAACUGCUCCUCCAUUACACAUAGCAUCUUUCCUUGAGUUUAGCAUAUUAUUUCAACAUUUCAAAACUCUAGAUUCAACAUUUCUUGAAACUUAGUGCAACAUUUUAGAUAAAUCGAUUCAACAUUUAGCAUAGUAUUGUUGAAAAUGUUGAGCUAGUAUAUGUUAUUUCAACAUUUCUGCAAAGCUAGCUCAACAUUGAGGUAAUGUAGUUCAACAUUUUGUGUAGUAUUGUUAAAAUAGUGUAUCUAAAAUGUUGAGCUAAUACACAAAAAGUGUUGAGCUAGUAUAUAUUAUUUAAACAUUUCAAAAGUCUAGAUUCAACAUUUAUGGAAACCACAUUUUAGAUAAACUGGUUCAAUAUUUUGCAUAGCAUUGUUGAAAUAGUGUACCUUAAACGUUGAGCUAAAUAUAUAAAAAUGUUGAGCUAAUAUAUCUAAAAUGAUGAAACUAAGAAAAUAAAAAUGAAAAAAAUAUAUACAGUCAUGUGGGAUCUUAAUCCGUUAGAAAAAUUUCGAAAAGGCUCAUAGUUUAAUCGGAAUUAAAAUUAAAUGCACCGUUAGAGAGAUAAGUAAGUUGAAAAGUUCGAAAUCAAAACUCACAUCACCCAACAAGUAGCUGAAACCUAUCCGUCCUUUCAGCAGCUCCACCCACCUCGCACCAGCAUACUAGCACAUGGUGGUCCCCAGCCACCUCGAUGCCGUUGCGUCGAAGGAGAGGGCGGAACCGACGAGGGUCGCCGGCGGCUCCCACCCCGGCCGAACGCGUCCUGACCGACUCCGGCAGGGGGCGGCAGGGCCUCCCGCAGGUGAGCGCUUCCAUCCGUGGUCCGCAGCAGUAAUGUCUGAUUUUUCGCUUUCUUCUCCAGAAUUCGUCGCAUAUACUUAUAUGUCAUCGUCCUCUUAUUUUUCGCUUUCUUCUCCAGAAUUCGUCACAUAUACAAAGCUUUCACGAUUUCGAUGAGAGAUUUGGUCAUGUUUGUGGCCACGGAGACACAGUCUAGCUAGCGUAGUGAAAAGUGGCACUAGUGAUUGCAAUACGCACGGAAAUUGGUUUUUUGUCUGUUCUUUCUCCAUCUCAAUCAUCAAUCAAAUGGGGGUAGUCGUCGGUACGCCGGGUGGGCCGAGUUGGCCAAACUGCACAGUGGUGGUGGCAGCCAAGGUGUUGUUCAAGGUCGGGCUGGCACGCACACGGCCGUACCAUAUCAGGGUGUGUCCUGCUUCCCCGUCAACUUGGGGAGGUGGGCCAAGCGACAGCUAGCUGUGGUGUGGUGGGCAUCCAGCAGGCGCGCAGGGCCCAGCCGUGGCCGUGAUUAUGCGCCGGGGUGAGAGAAGAAGACACGGCACCUAAUACUUUCCUCACCUUUGCAGUGCCGUGGGCCCACCACUUCCCUUCUGGCCCACAUGUCAUGGAGACACGUCAGGCUGUGGUGGACAAGGGAAGACACCGCACCGCACGCACCUCCACCACUUGCCUUGCCUUUGCCUUCGCUUUUCCCACUUGUGCUGUGGGAAGACACCGCAUACACCUCCAGCUCGAGCUCGCCCGCCUAGCUAGGAGCUCCAGCAUCCGGUCCGCUCCGCCGCCGGUGCAGCAACCACGCCGCCGUCAGACCGCCUCGCGCGGCCACCGGUCGUCCCCGCGAUACACCGCCGCCGGUGCGCCGUGCGCGGCGGCGCUGUCCCGCCGCUCCUCCGCCUACCGUCCGCCUGCGCCACCACCAGCGCACCGGCAGCACCGCGAGCUGCUGCGCCGCCCCGACGUUGGUCCUUCCUGAGCCCGGUGUCGUCACCAGCGUCGCGGAGAAGCUAAUUACCUGGAGCAAUUUGUAGAAACAAAUAGUACUGGUUCGUUCACUUAUUUCUUUGCUGAAACUUAAUUUCUGCUUAGAGUUUGUGCCUAAAUUAGCUGCUUAUUCUGCUGGUUGCACGCAGGAGAUCGAGCUACGGGCGUACGGCCGGAUCGGAGGAGGACAUAUCAGCCGGGUUCCUGUUGGUUGUGUACUUGUGUUCCUGCCGGCAGAGAAGCAACCAUGGCCGAGUUACUGAUCGGGCCACUGAUCUCCAUGGUGAAGGAGAAGGCAUCCAGCUACCUGCUGGACCAAUACAAGGUGAUGGAAGGCAUGGAGGAGCAGCGCAAGACCCUGGAGCGCAUGCUGCCAGCAAUCCUGCAAAUCAUCCAGGAUGCGGAGGAGAAAGGAGCCUCCCGAUCUAAAGUUGCAGUUUGGCUUAAAGACCUCAAGACAGCGGCCUAUGAGGCCAACGACGUCUUUGAUGAGUUCAAGUACGAGGCGCUUCGGCGAGAAGCCAAGAAGAAGGGCCACCAAAGCAAGCUUGGAGCGGAGGUAGCAAGACUCCUAGUCCCCGCUCGUAAUUCCAUUGUAUUCCGUUACAGGAUGGGCAAGAAGCUAAGCAGGAUUGUGCAGACCAUCGAGGCCCUGGUCACCGAGAUGAAUAAAUUUGGUUUCAGACACUUGCAGCAAGCACAGCCAUCAAGGCAGUGGCGACAGACAGAUUCCAUAAUCAUUGACUCCGACACAGAUAUUCUUAGCAGAUCUAGAGAUCGGGAGAAGAAGAAAAUCGUGGGGAUGCUCCUUGAUCAAGCUAGCAACAUGGAUCUCAUGGUUCUUCCAAUUGUUGGGAUGGGUGGGAUGGGCAAGUCCACCUUUGUGCAACUCAUUUACAAUGACCCUGCAAUCGAGAAGCACUUUGAGCUUCGGAGGUGGUGCUGCGUGUCAGAUGAUUUCGAUGUCAGUACCAUUGCAAGCAACAUCUGCCAGACCAAUGAGAAAUAUCGUGAAAAAUCAUUGCAGGAGCUCCAGAGUACAAUAAGUGGAAAAAGAUACCUCAUUGUGUUAGAUGAUGUAUGGAAUCGGGAUGCUGAUAAGUGGGGAAAACUAAAGACCUGCCUUAAGCAGGGUGGCAAGGGCAGUGCGGUACUAACAACAACUCGUGAUGCAGAAGUGGCUCGCAUUAUGACCAUGGGUGUAGCUCAAGCCCAUAAUAUCGAGAAUCUGAGUGACGAGCAUUUAAAGGAAAUUGUCCAGAGCAGAGCAUUCAGCUUGCAAAAUCCAAAUAUGGAAGAGCAAGAUGGCAUUCUCAGUGGAUUUGUUCGUCGAUGCGUUGGAUCUCCCUUGGCUGCCAAAGCCUUUGGCUCUAUGUUGAGUAACAGGACUAGUGUAAAUGAAUGGAAGGAUGUAUUAGCUAAAAGUGACAUUUGUAGUGAGAAAACCGGAAUUUUACCGAUCCUCAAGCUCAGUUUUGAUGACCUAUCCUCAGAUAUGAAGCAGUGCUUUGCAUUUUGUGCUUUAUUUCCUAAAGAUUAUGAGAUUGAUGUGGACCUCUUGAUUCGACUGUGGAUGGCACAUGACUUCAUACCUGUGCAGGAGGAUGACAAUCUAGAAACCAUAGGAAAAUAUAUUUUUGAGGAGCUAACUCGGAGGUCAUUCUUUCAAGAUGUCAGGCAAACACUUCAAUUUGACUAUUUUGGAAGCAGGUUGUCGCUUCGUAAGUCAACCAUAUGCAAGAUACAUGAUCUCAUGCAUGACAUUGCUCUAUCUGUUCUGGGGAAAGAAUGUGUCACUAUAGUUGGUAAGCCGAGCGUCAACAAGCUGUUGCUAAAUCCGACCCGCCACGUCUUCUUAUCACUAUAUGGUUUCAAUCCUACUUUCUGGAAAGAACAGGUUACAAGUCUACUAGAUCAUCUAUUGAAGAAACAAACUGCAAUGCUCCAUACGUUGUUUAUCAAAGAUUAUGGUCAACCCCUUGAUAUAUCAAAGUACACUUCACUGCGAGCAUUACACCUUCCAGCAAAUGAAGAGCUAAGGUAUCCUAAUCUGUCGCCACAUGAACAGCUUACAAGACACAUACAACACCUAAGGUAUCUUAAUCUGUCAUCACAUUGGUUCGAGAAACUUCCUGAAGGUAUAAGCAUUAUGUAUCAUCUACAAACGUUGGACCUCUCUCAUUGCAAAUACCUUCGUCACCUUCCAAAGGAUAUGAAGUAUAUGGCAAACCUCCGACACCUCUAUACCCAUGGAUGCAUAUCAUUGACAUGCAUGCCUCCAGGACUUGGACAGAUCACUUCUCUGCAGACUCUAACAUAUUUUGUUAUUGGUGAUGGCUUGGGAUGUAGUACUAUUGGGGAACUUCAAAACUUAAACCUUGGUGGAGAGUUAGAGUUAAGUGGUCUGCAAAAUGUAACAGAAGUGCUUGCAAAAGCAGCCAGUCUUGAAAAUAAAGAGAGACUCACACACUUAUCUCUCGCGUGGAAUGAUGAUGCCCGUGAGAAACCAGAUUCUCAUAAUGAGGUGUUAGAUGCCCUUAAACCUCAUCACCGGCUAGAGAUGCUAAGAAUAAAGUCCUACAAAGGCACCAAAUUACCGUCAUGGAUAACAGAUCUUAGUCUGUUGCAGCACUUGACUGAGCUCCAACUGGUUGGUUGUAGGCUGUGCGAGGAAUUUCCUCAAUUCUGCCAUUUCAAAGCCCUUGAAGUUCUGUAUUUGAAAAAGUUGGACAAAUUGCAAAGCCUAUGCAGUCAUAUGGUGUCUACGCCAUUUCCAGCACUGAAGCAACUCCAGUUACAUGAUUUGGAGAGCUUGGAGAGAUGGGUCGCAACAGAAGGAAAAGAAGAUGAAUUAUCCUUUCCUGUACUUGAGGAGGUUGAAAUAGAGAACUGUCCAAAGUUGACUAGCCUACCUGAAGCACCAAAGCUCAAGGUUGUAAAGCUGGAUGAAGGCAAGCCGCUGCUCUCCUUAGGAAUAGUUAAAUCAAGGCACAUGUCUUCAAUUUCUAAGCUACUACUGCGUGUCCGUGACACAGAAGCACUGCCUCAGAUAGAUUAUAAUUGGGAUUCAUCACAGAAACUGGAACUAUCUUUGGGUGGCACAGAAGCCGCACCUCUGUCACAACUGAGCAUAUUUGGCUGCAACUUUUUAUUCGUAUCAAGCCACUCACAGCUAACACCUGGGGUCUGGAAAUGGUUUGAACAUCUUGCAGUUUUAACAAUUGCAAAAUGUGAUGUGCUCAUCUACUGGCCAGAAGAAGUGUUCCAAAGCUUGGUAUCUUUGAAGUACUUGUUCAUUUUCUCCUGCAACAAGCUAAUAGGGCCCACACAAGCGAAAGGUGACAAACCUACACAAACAACAGAUCAAGUCCUGCCACAUCUAAACAUGAUACGUAUACACAAUUGUGAAAGCAUGGCACAGCUCUUCAUUCUUCCCCCAUCUAUCAGAAUUAUUCAUAUUUUUGAGUGCCCUAAGCUUGAGUUCAUAUGGGGAAAAGAGGAGCAUCUUGACACAUAUGCAUCGCUGGAACAUUGCCGCGACCCUGCAUCCACCACUGGUAACCUAGAGCAAUCGCCGUCUCCAAUUAUUCGCCGUCCAUGCCUUGUAGAUCUAACUAUAAGAGGAUGUGAUAGCCUGGUAACACUUCCAAAUCUACCACCGUCCCUCAAGGAAUUAUUCAUCCGGAAGUGUGAGAAGCUCUGCUCUGUGUCAGGAGACCUGUGUGCACUCGAGACCCUACAGAUUGUUAACUGCAAUAAGUUACAGUCAGUCAAUUCCUUGGGAGACCACCCAUCAUUAGAAACACUGUUUCUUUCUGGCUGCCGAUGCCUUGCAUCUUUAGGAUGUGAUGGUGGUCGUGGGAGUUACUCUGCUCUUCAGUGCCGUGAGAUCGAAGACUGCCCAGCCAUAGAUAUGAAGCAGUUUUACUAACGCCAUCAAACAGCUGCUUGACAGCUUUGAAUAUGAAGACGUAUCACACGUUCAUUCAAGCAGCUCUGAUGAAGGUACGACCUUUCACUUUCCUCUUAUUCAAUUUGUUUCCUUCAAAUUUCCCUUCUUUGCAUGCCCUCCUAUUUUGUUGACGAUCUGGUUUAUAGAUGGGCUUGCGGGGUGGGAUUUUGGGGUUUCAUCUUCGUUCCGGCUUUUAGACGGUCCUUUCUCACUGACGUGACCCCACAUAUAUUUUAGUUUAUACGGCUAUUGGUUUUCAGUCUUCGAUGCAGUUGAAGUGCAUAGGGAAAUUCUGGAAACAUGUUCUAUCCCUUGGUGUUGAGAUCAGCUGAUGCGGAAUCACUGAAGUACUACUGAAACGAGAUCCUGAUCGGUCUCAGUUGUGGAGAGCAAUUUGUGAUGAAUGGAAGCAGUCCCAAGGCUUCAAGAACUCAUGGAGUCGUGCUGUACCAUUCUCCACUGCCAGGGCCUAAACUAGGUACAUGGAAGGCGCACAGGUUGGGAUAGUAAAAAACCAUACCUUUGUCUGUGUUAGAGCAACUCCAAGAGGCUGCUAAUCUUACCCCAAUACCUUUUUUAGGAAAAAAAAAGAGAAAAAAUGAACUCCAACAAUCCACCUAAACCUUCCCCAAUUUUUUAGCGACGCUAAAAAACAGCCUGCCAUCGCGUAUAUUUUAGCGUUGGCGUUCCUUCCCCAAUCCUGAUUCCCGCACACCCGCGCGUCCCUUCCGAUGGGCCCAAUACGAUGACGUGGCCUGUGUUUGAAAUAUUGGGGGCUAUUUAUUAGCGAUCUGUUGUGGACUGAUAUGCUUUUGGGGGAAAUUUUUUUUGGGAGAACCCCCAAUACAUAGUUUUGGGGAAGAAUUUUUUAGGAUACUCUUGGAGUUGCUCUUAGAGCAUCUUCAAGAGUCUGCCAAAAAACUCUUCCCCAAAACCACAUCAUCCCACAAUAGAUCCCUAAUAAUAAAUUUUCCAAUAUUUUAAAAUUUGCCACAUCAGCAUGCGUGGACCCUAAGCUGGGCUGCCCCCUUCCCCCGCUGGAGCGUUUUCGCGCUUUCGCACUGUGGCUGCCUGAGCAGGGGUUGGUCUGUGCUGAUUUGCUGAACCAUGCAUAUUAUAUGCACUGGGACUGUCAUGCCCUCAGAAAAGCAUCAUCAUCUACUGGUAUGACGUCAAUUCAGCCUCAAACUCUCAACACUGAAGGCCUUCGAGGACUAGGACUACGCCAGCGCCACCCAUUGAAUCCCAUCCCCAUCUCGGCCACGUGCCAUGCCAUGCCCAGCCGUGGGGCACUGGGCAGCCCACGUGCAGCCACUUGUGGCCACGGACGCCCAGCCAGACCAUCACCCCCAAGAGGAGGAACGCCUUAUCUUUUCACCAUGAGAAAGCAGAGUCUAACGGUCCGUGGGCAAUAGGAAAAUCAGCACCGGCGGACUCCUGUGUUCACCUUCAUAUUUUUCGUGGUCUAUAUUAUGCGAGUUAUAGCAGUCCUAGGGAAUUUGUUUGGUGUCUCGGAGUUGUCAUAUUCCUAUUAAUGAUUGUGACAGCUUUUAUAGGAUACGUACCACCUUGGGGUCAGAUGAGCUUUCGGGGAGCAACAGUAAUUACAAGCUUAGCUAGCGCCAUACCAGUAGUAGGAGAUACCAUAGUGACUUGGCUUUGGGGUGGUUUCUCCGUGGACAAGGCUCUUGGAGUUGCUCUUAAUCAAUUCUCAUUUAGCACUCUGUUGUUAACAUGUUACCCCCAUGCUUUUCAUUUUUUCUGUGCAGACAUGACCCAUUUAUCCUUAAAAGGCAUAAAGGAGGGCACUCACAUGUACGCACGACUGGCAACUGGAAGCUUCGUUGCAAGCCUCUGCUAACGACCAAGUUUGUUUUCACGCCACUAUACCAGCUGCUGGUAAUUCUCUUGUCACUAAUGUCAUCCUGUCAUCCAUCAAAGCCGUGGAGAAUAUGAUGCCACUCUGAGUCCUUCAGUUUGCCACGUGAGCCGAUGAAGCAGAAACAGAUGAUGAUGAUGGAUGAUAUAACUGCGGGGAUGCAGACUUGCUUUCAACGGUCGAAAUGGAGCUACAAAUGAUUAGUCGUAGUCGUGUGUGGUCCUUCCAUCACCUUGUGUUAUUGAUCCCGUUUGUAUGUGUUGCGUUCUCUAUAUCCCUCCAUAGCUUUUCAGUUGUUGUCUCUUUUACGACUAUUUUGAUUCCUCUUUUCCUUUUUAUUAAUAUAACACAAAAAUCCUCUUGCCAUGUUUUUGAAAAAACAAAAUCGUGAGGAUGCUGCUUCAUGAAGCUAGCAACAUGGAUCUCAUAUGGUUCUUCCGAUUGUUGGGAUUGGUGGGAUGGGCAAGACCACCUUUAAUUUGUGCAACUCAUUUAUGACCCUGAUCGUGAUGCAUUUUGAGCUUCAGAGGUGGUGCUGUGUGUCAGAUUCGAAAAUGUUUUUUGACUCUUUCAUCACCGCCUUCAGUAGCUCAUGCCGGUCAGGUCUUCUCCAGUGACCAGUUCCUUCACCUUGGUUGCGCACCCCCUCACCUGGGCUUGCAGCUAGGUCAUAGCCUUGGCAUUCCGCAUCAUCUCAGCCAUGGCAUAGUCUAGUGCUACGUAGGUUGUGUCCGUCCCGGCUUCAAACAUGUCCUUCAUGAACAUAUCCGUAGAACUCCAAUCAAAUUUAACCAAACUAGUCAUGAAACAUGUCAUAUGUACCUCUUGUGAGAAUUAAAUUGGAGGCUUAAAAUCCUUCAAUUAGUAACAGUAAGAAAUUAAUUAAAAUUUGGAGUUUUGUUGCAUACAAGUUGCCAGUCACCAGUACAGAAAUGACCUUUAGUCCUGGUUAGGAAACCUUGGGAAACCUCAAAGAGCUCGGUUUUCCCGACCGGGAUUAAGUAUUCGGGAUUUAGUCCUGUAACACCAUGUGCUUUGCCUUAUAAUGAAAGCCACUAAAAAUUCGAACUUCUAAAAUUUUCCUAUAAACUAAAAUGUGCCUUGCUAUUUCAUACCUCAAAACCCUUUCAAAAUAAAUUUUACAAAACAACCUUCAUCAAAAUUCACCAUAUGCAUUUUAUUGUGCUUGUUUGAGUGUUGUUUGCUUGUGUGCUUUGUUGAAUCUUUUGGUGGCAACCAACCCCUUGACCUCCUUUCCAAAUUUCCCACAAAUCCUUGUUAAACAUCCCUUCGAAUUCCUCAAAUCCAUUCAAACUCCAUUUCAAAUCUCUUCCAAAAUUAUUCAAACCAUUUCCUUGGGUGCAGGCUCAAUUUCCCUCUCCUCUCCUUUCGGCCUGGCGUGGCUUGCUUCUCCUUCUCCCUUUCAGCCCAGCUCGGCCCGCCCCUCCUCGCCUUCUUCUUUCCCGAGCAGGCCACCUCCUCCUCCUCCUUUACUUCCGCACGGCCCGGUCCAGCCCACAACGGCCGCCACCUCUCUCUUCCUCUCCGCACCAGCACCGCCCAUGAGAAUGGCCCGUGACGACCCGGCUCCCACUCCAUGUCAGCAUUGCGUCCGCACACAGCCGCUGAUGAGUAGGUCCCACUCAAUAGCGUCAUCCCCAACCUCGUGUCGUCUUCCCCAAUGCGUCUCGUUGCCGCCGCCUUGUCCCAUCUCCGCCCGUCGCCUAUGCCGUCGUGCCGGCCCCGAAGAAAUAUCUCGCCGCUCCAUCCCAUCAUGGCCCCACCUGUCAUCCCGCACGGUCCUAAAAGAUCUCCGCCGCCCGCUCCACGGACCUCUGUGCACAAUCGACCUCUCGCGGCUAUAAAAGCUGGCGAGCCCCGCCAUCGCUCCCCGCACCUCAAGCUCGAGCUCCCUCCCUCUUCUUCUGCUCGAGCUCGCCUCCUCCCUCUUUAGUCCUCUCCUCCCUCCACCGGAGCACGGCUUCCUCCGAAGCCACGCCUCGCCGAGCCCUGCCCUUCCCUCUUCCUGUCUAGCGCGCCACCGCACAGAACUGCCAGCCAAGCACUAGCGCCGCCACCGUGACAAACUCGAGGAGGACAAAGUGCCGAGCGACGUUGGAUCGGUAACAAGCGGCCCUGAUCUGCCUGAGCUAAUUCGCGUCCCACACCCGAUGACAAGUAGGCCCGAGUCUAACGCCGAAAAUGCCGUCUGUUGGUGACCAGUGGGCACCACAUCAGCAAGCAAGCUCCCAGACAUCACCAUGGCACUGGGAGGGUGCCUCGCAAGCACCACGCGGACACACCCGUAGCAAAUGACACGUCAUCAUGGGUCCACAUGUGAGUUACUGUGUGACACUGUGCGGUCAACAGUCAACACUGACCAGGGACACACCUGGAGUAACUGUGUCGACGGUAAAAUUACUACGCGUACUCAGGUUAGUGUACACGGAAGUCUCGUUUACCCCUUUCCUUGCACAAGCAAGCUCCCAGACAAAUUGUCACUCGCCAUGGCACUGGGAGGGUGCCUCGCAAGCGCCACGCGGACACACCCGUAGCAAAUGACACGUCAUCAUGGGCCCACAUGUGAGUUACUGUGUGACACUGUGCGGUCAAUAGUCAACACUGACCAGGGACACACCUGGAGUAACUGUGUCGACGGUAAAAUUACUACGCGUACUCAGGUUAGUGUACACGGAAGUCUCGUUUACCCCUUUCCUUGCACAGAAAAAUUUCCAAAAAAUUCCUAAAAAUACUAGAGCCACCCUAUAACCCAUCCAAACCUUUUGCACCCCAUUUCCAUCAUACAAAAUUAUGGGAAAAUAAAUUUCACCACUCAGGCACUCAUAAAUUCCAAUAAAUCACAUAAAUUCCCGAUAAAUUCCCAAAAAUCAUCUCUCCUGUCAAACUCCGUUUCUGUCAAUUCUUCCACCAAAAUUCUUCUAAAAUUAAAUCCUUGAUAUCCCUUCCGGUGCCACCAUUAGUUUCUUUGUUUGAUUCUUGAUUUGUUCAUGUAUUGCUCUUCGACCUGUUAGUCACUAACAUCACACAAACCCCUUAUGCUCAUGCAUGCAUAUACACUGUAGCAUGUAUACAACUAUAUGAGUAUACAUACACCCCCCUUCACACACCUACCACCGAUACUUUUUUUAUUUUUGUUUUUGCAAAAAAAAAAUCAAAACUAUUUAGUCCCAGUUGGUAAUACCAACAGGGACUAAAAGGGGCGGGAGGUAGCCACUGGCGCCGUGAUCGUUUUCUUCCGGUUGGUAUUACCAACUGGGACUAAAAGGGGAUAUUAUAUCCCGGUUUUGGGACCCGUGAUAAAAGACCCCCCUAUCUCGACAAGUUAAUCCUAGAUGCAUUUUCGGAAGAUAUGCACCCUACAAACCGGUACUAAUACCGAAUUUUCUAAUAGUGAAUGGUGCCGGUAGGCGUCCCCUUCAGCUGCAUUCUCUUCCAACCUGCAUACAAAGAGUCACUGGAGAUAGCGUGAUACAACCUCGGUUAGUCAGGCGAUCAAAUGAUAUAACCUCGAGUUAAUCUAGGCCGAAGCCAAUUAGCUUCCGUGUUUCUAUCUGAAGCUGGCAGAGUUAGCGCCUUGUCUGGGCGAGCUAAGACCCGGGUUAUAGGCGAAGGGGAUGAGUUUUGGACAGAUCCCCAACAUCUCGAAAAAUUAAUCUCGGUUGGGCAUUGGAGAGUUAUGCUCCUUCCCAACCGGGACUAAUAGUCAGUUUUCUACUACUGGUUGUGUAGAGGUGAGGAGGCGAGGGUUUUAGGUGAGGACGAUGAGGUGGCACCGCUCCCUUUCUCCGAUUCAACUGUCUCUAUAAAAUUGAUAUGGUUAGAUAUGUCAUAUUCUGUGGUACCACCUCGCGAUCACGAUGUGUGUGCCUCUAUAUAUGUUGUGCCAUUGCAGUCCAUUCGAUCGAGGGAGUACCAUAGCGUGACUGAACUACUGAAAAUGAAAAGCCUACACUUCUGCAACAACACAGUCUACCCCUAUGUUUACAACCUGACUUCCUCCUACAUCGACCAGAACAAUGAGGCCACCAUGGUGACCACCACCUUGGUCAUGUUUAUGCUGGCCGUGUUCGUCUUCAACCUCAACCUCUUCAGCCGCUUCUUGGACGUGAGCGCGAUUCUCAACCCUAGCGUCCGCCUCUUCCUCUCCACCUCCCUGUCCCUCUUCCUGCCGGUCAUGUCCUACCUCUUCUCCGAGGCCAAGAACCAAGGUGCAACGACGACCAUGGCUGCUAGUACUAGUAGCUCCAGUUAUGGCGAGCUCGGUGACGAGCUGUCACUUCGAGCUAGGACGAUCCUCAUGUGGAUGCUUCUUGUGGAGCUCCUACGCAAGAAGGUGGAGGCCGUCCUGGUCAACGUGGGCAUGCAGUGGUACUCAGGCGCCAUCGAUCGCUUCGCCCGCAUUGUUUGGCUCUGCUAGCUCGUCUUCUACAAUGUCAAAAGCCCCGGCAAGAAGGCGAUCUACGGCACCUUAUGGGUCCUCACUGCUGCCAAGUUCCUGCAAAGGGUCGUCGUCAAGAUGGUGCUGGAGCGUUCCUUCGCCUACGGAAGGAACACCCAGCUGCUCAACUCAUACAUGGCCCAGAUCAUCCAACAACAAGAGCAAGAGGAGCACUUGGGGUCAUCGUAGGCGGAGCUGUUGAAGAAGUGCGAGUACACCGUGAUGGGAGAAGACAACCUGGAGAGGACGGCUGGCCGGCAUGCAUGGCUACCAGGUCGAGCUGAACAAGGCAGCCGUUGUCACCGUUGGUGACAUUUGGACGCAGGCAGCAGCCGAGCCGGACAGCCUCCUCCGGAGAGAACACCUCAGAAGGCUCUGCCUCUCCUUUGUUCUCUACAAGCUGCUGCGCCGGAGGUUCGAGGACAUCCCCACAACAAGGGAGGAGACCCGGAACUGCCGGAACCUCAUCUUCAAGGGCAUGUUGAAGGAGGAGGCGGAGCAAGGUGCCGAGGUCGCACUGUUCCAGUCUUCAACGAUGAGACCCAGUUCGUUUGCGAGUACUACCAUUCCGUCCUACCCGUCGUCUUGUCCGACCCUUUCUUCUUCAUAGCCAACUACAUCUUGUUUCCCAUUGUAGUUUGUGCCUUCUGCCUCCUAAC